rnacentral:lncRNA from 1 species
CUAGAGGGUACUCCAAGAACUUAGAGUGUAUAACAGAGAUUUAUUUGGGUUUUCUAAUCUGUAAAUUACAGAGUACUGUUGUCAUACUAAACCUUAAGAAUGCAACACCCCAAAGUCUUGAUACUAAACAGCAACUUUCAAAACCAGUCUAAUAUAUUUUUUCAGCAAAAUAGUGUGGCAUACCUGAAUUAUAAGGAACACUGAAUGACAUGUAGUUUAGAUUUAGUUACACUUAUCUUACUUUUAAAUUAUCUAAAUUAUUAUCUUUUCUUUAUUUCAGACACAAUUAUCUGGUUCACAUUCUGUUUCUUCUUCCAGACUUGGACAAGGCGUUCCGUCAUUAGCAGGGUGAAGAACUACAAAACGAGUUCUGAUCUUGGUCCCCAUUUUUCUGCAAGGACCUCUGCAGAGACCCCAGGAAGACCAUUGUGAAACUUCACAGUCCAGUGGUGUUUCUGCAAAAUAAACAAUAAAAAGACUUUCCAGGUUUGCAGAAAACAUGUCAUCUUCUUGCUUGCAAUCUUUUUGGACGGACUGCCAGAGGACUGCCUCUAUGUCAAC